UAGGACAAGGGGGAAUGGUUUUAAACUGAGACAGGGGAGGUUUAGGUUAGAUAUUAGGAGGAAGUUUUUCACACAGAGGGUGGUGACGCACUGGAACAGGUUGCCCAAGGAGGUUGUGGAUGCCCCAUCCCUGGAGGCAUUCAAGGCCAGGCUGGAUGUGGCUCUGGGCAGCCUGGUCUGGUGGUUGGUGACCCUGCACAUAGCAGGGGGGUUGAAACUCGAUGAUCAUUGUGGUCCUUUUCAACCCAGGCCAU
rnacentral:lncRNA from 1 species